rnacentral:misc_RNA from 1 species
UCCGGUUUAUCACCGGCAGUCCCCUUAGAGUUCCCGGCCGAACCGCUGGGCUUCCGUACAUGUCAAGGGUAGGUAAGGUUUUUCGCGUUGCAUCGAAUUAAUCCACAUCAUCCACCGCUUGUGCGGGUCCCCGUCAAUUCCUUUGAGUUUUAAUCUUGCGACCGUACUCCCCAGGCGGACAACUUCACGCGUUAGCUGCGGUACUGAGAAAUCGCUUCCCCAACACCUAGUUGUCAUCGUUUAGGGCGUGGACUAC